AUUGUUUUUAUUAUGAUUAAUUCAAACAUAAUGAUGAUUUUGGCGGCUCCCUCUGCUGAGGUUACCCAUUUCAAAAAUAUGCUGAAAAUCGCCUCCUGACCUGAAUGACCUCAUAUUGCCAAUCGUUAACCUUAACUAUACAGGUUGUAUAAGUUAUUGUAUUUUUUCAGUUGAAUACAUCAACAAAUUCGAAUUAUGAUUCAGUUCACUAAUGGAGAAAUUACAUAAUUGCAGUUGGCCAUAGCUAUACUUGGGAGUUAAGAAAUUGUACCAAUCUUUCUCAACUAUCUCACUAAUGAGAAAUUGAUAUGGAAAGAAAGAUCCUCUUUGUAAAGUACCUCACGCAAUGAAUUGGAGUUUUACUUGGGUUUAUGUCAGCUUGGCGAGUGAUUAAAUGUGUUAAUAGGUGUGGAGAAAAAGGAAUAAACCAUUAACAAUGAACAUAUCUGAGAAAAUGUUAUGAAUUUAAGAACACCUAUGUAUUAUAUGACAUUUGAUAAUAAAAGUUCAGACAACA